GGUAAUGAAAACAUAGUCAAAAUGGUGAUUGAUCACCCCUUCCCCUUUUUUACUAGUUUUCUAUACAUUUCACACAUUUUGUCUUGCUUGAAGGAAAUCCUUGUAAAUUCGAUCUUUUUAUUACUUCGUCAGUAUCAGUACACUUGCCGAGAAGUCAUCAAGUUUUUGGCGUCGUUGUCGGGGACUGUUAAUUUUUCAACAAGGCGAUGUUGUGCAAUAUUUUAUUUUUAGUAUUUUUAAUUUUCUUUUUAUUUUCUUGUUCAUCAUAGUACUAUUGAGUUA
rnacentral:lncRNA from 1 species